GACUAAGCGUACACGGUGGAUGCCCUGGCAGUCAGAGGCGAUGAAGGACGUGCUAAUCUGCGAUAAGCGUCGGUAAGGUGAUAUGAACCGUUAUAACCGGCGAUUUCCGAAUGGGGAAACCCAGUGUGUUUCGACACACUAUCAUUACGUGAAUACAUAGCGUAAUGAAGCGAACCGGGGGAACUGAAACAUCUAAGUACCCCGAGGAAAAGAAAUCAACCGAGAUUCCCCCAGUAGCGGCGAGCGAACGGGGAGCAGCCCAGAGUCUGAAUCAGCAUGUGUGUUAGUGGAAGCGUCUGGAAAGUCGCACGAUACAGGGUGAAAGUCCCGUACACAAAAGUGCAUGUGUUGUGAACUCGAAGAGUAGGGCGGGACACGUGGUAUCCUGUCUGAAUAUGGGGGGACCAUCCUCCAAGGCUAAAUACUCCUGACUGACCGAUAGUGAACCAGUACCGUGAGGGAAAGGCGAAAAGAACCCCGGCGAGGGGAGUGAAAAAGAACCUGAAACCGUGUACGUACAAGCAGUGGGAGCA
rnacentral:rRNA from 1 species